rnacentral:rRNA from 1 species
UACGAGAGGCCCAAACGUUAUUCGGAAUUACUGGGCUUAAAGAGUUCGUAGGCGGCAUUGCAAGUAGGGUGUGAAAGCCCUCGGCUCAACCGAGGAAUUGCGCUCUAAACUGCAGUGCUUGAGGAACCUAGAGGUGAGCAGAACAGAUGGUGGAGCGGUGAAAUGCGUUGAUAUCAUCUGGAAUACCGGAGGCGAAGGCGGCUCACUGGGAGUUUUCUGACGCUGAGGAACGAAAGCCAGGGUAGCGAACAGG